ACAGCCCUUAUCAGGGCUACCAACAUUUUGCUGGUGGGUUCGCAACAGCCAACCAUCCAUCCUCUUGACCUCUCAAAUAAACAAGCAGUUUAUUUUGUGGCAUAUUCCUUUAAUCGAGGCUCAAUUCUGAUAAGCAAUGCUUUGCACACAUCGUGCACGCUUUAAGAAGUGACAUGGAAACAUGCUUAAAUGCUGGAAAAUCUGAAUGAAAACACAGUUGUUAACCCUGAUUAACGUUGCCGAGCCCAAAAUGCUCAUUCGGGCAGCCACCGUCAAGUUUGACGCG
rnacentral:lncRNA from 1 species